CCUACGGGGGGCAGCAGUGAGGAAUAUUGGUCAAUGGACGGAAGUCUGAACCAGCCAUGCCGCGUGCAGGAAGACGGCUCUAUGAGUUGUAAACUGCUUUUGUACAAGGGUAAACCUGAAUACGUGUAUUCAGCUGAAAGUACUGUACGAUUAAGGAUCGGCUAACUCCGGGCCAGCAGACGCGGUAAUACGGAGGAUCCAGGCGUUAUCCGGAUUUAGUGGGUUUAACGGGUGCGUAGGCGGAUUGAUAAGUUAGAGGUGAAAUGUCCGAGCUUAACUCGGGAACUGCCUCGAAUACUGUUGAGCUAGAGAGUAGAUGCGGUAGGCGGAAUGUAAGGUGUAGCGGUGAAAUGCUUAGAGAUCAGACAGAACACCGAUUGCGAAGGCAGCGUACCAAUCUAUAUCUGACGUUGAGGCACGAAAGCGUGGGGAGCAAACAGGAUUAGAUACCCCUGUAGUC
rnacentral:rRNA from 1 species